AGGAAAAGGAGUGUCUUGCUCCAAUUAUCAGAGCCAGAGGAGGUUCUUUGAUAUAUGUAUACCUGACAUGAGAUUAGGAAACAACGGUUCAAAUGUUGGUCCGACCAGUUUGUUACAGAUCCUAGGCAAUCAGGGAGAUGGGGAAGGGCACGCCGGCGAUUAUUACAAAUUAGGGUGAUGGGGAAGGGAAAGUGGGCAAUAGAAAAAAUAGGAAAGAGCAAGAAUGACGUGAAGCGGGCAUAGUCGCCACCAAAGAUCAAGCAGCGACCCGCUGCACGACGUUCCAAUGGUCCGAGGCCAACGCAGGAGCAGGAGCACAGGAGAAGGCAGCAGCAGAGUGGCCGUCCUUAGGCAGCAAGCAAGGAGUCCAGGAGAAACAGGCAGCAAGCGGGUAGAAGGCCCAGGAGAGUCCCGCAGCAGAAGGUAGCACGUCACGAGGAAUCUGAUUUCAGAGACCUAACUUAUCUUCGUUGUAGGUCCCAUUUUUAUCCUUCUUCUGCCAGCGUGGCAUUCCUCGGCGCUUAGCCUUGAGAAAUGAACUUGUCUGAACACACAAUGCAUUGGUCUUCAAAAGCAAUUACCAGAUAGAAGACAUCACAAACAAAUACUCCAAUAAUAUUUUAUUGGAGUAAUUGCCACAAUGGAGCGCAGAAAGCAAAGACGCCAACAGCAGCCAAAAAAUCAGUCUUGAUUAUAAAACUGAAGUUGAAUACUAGAGGCAGGUUCUCCUGAAAGGUCAUCGCAAUGGAUCCAAAAUCUGCUUGUCUUUCUUAUCCAUCAUUUGAAUUCAUUCUCCUCAGAAUGUUAGGAGUUCAUUACCAUGGAAACCACUUAUCAAAUUGGCAAAGUCUAGAAUAUAAAAUGGCUAUUUGAAGAAUUUAUUUAAUUGCAAUUGGAGAUUUUUAAAAAGCCAGCUCACUAGUCAAGAUAUAGAAAUUCUCUAGAUACCUGAAUAUGUGAAAUUAUUCUGUGGGAAAAGUGUAACCAAGAAGGAUGAAGAGGAGAGAGGGAGGUGAUUUUUCACAGUUGGUCAAAAAUGAAGUAUAUUCGAGUUCUGCAGUACAUUAAAUUCUGGGACAUCAGCAAAAGUGAUUCAGAAGAGCUUGUGUCUGUAGUCUAAAAUUUUAGAUCCUUGCUGUGGAAGCACAGCUGCAACAAAAUUAAUCUCAUUACAAUGUUUCUUGACUUUUGCUAAGGUUAGCAAUAAGUUUUUGAACAUAUUAUCACCCUACAUGAUAAUGGUUUCCUUCUAACGUUUUUUCUUCAAUAAAUCUGUAAAAGUGGGGAAAAAAAAAAGAAAAAAAAAAGAGAAAGGAAAGAAUUGAUUAGAAUGUUUGUGUUGACUCAUUCCUGACAGUUAGAAUUCAGAAUAUAUAUAUAUAUAUAUUUAAUGAACAUAAAAAUAAUUUGGUGUCAGACUCUAAUGCUUUUGUGGCUGAGAAAAUCUGUUGGCUUCAACAGCAGAUAAAUGCAAGCUUAUACCUGAGUACAAAUCUCCAAAGAGCAUUUCUGAAUGAAAAUCUCUCGCCCUGCUUCAAAUGUGCCCCAUUCAUUUCAGUGAUAGUUCUGCCUGUUUCUUCCAAAAUUGUGUGUAUUCUCACAGUCCAGUUUUCCCAGUGUUCAGCAUUAUCAGACCAACAACCCAGGGGUAGGUUUGCAGAAGUACUAAGCUUCUUUUACAGCUUCAGUAAAAUCUAGAUUUUCAAAACUGCUUGUAAUACAGCACAACAAUUUUGAAAGUCCAGUCAUUUAUUCAAAAGAAUCAGUAAAAAAUGGAUGGCUUUGAGGACUUGGAACUCCAGUUGACAGUGCUAAUUUCUAUAAAAAGACUACAGUGGGUGGGUAUGUAAUUCUAUUUUAAAUCAACAUUCUGCCUGAAACAGAAGAUGCUGACUUCUUCUUUCCUAUCUGCAGUUAACUGCAUAAUGAUUAUGUUCAUAUCUUCAUUAGUCUAAUAACACAGCUAAAUAUUGGUGGUAGGUGGACGGUUAGACUAGAUGAUCUUAGAGGUCUUUUCCAACCUUAAUGACUCUACAAUUCCAUUAUUCUAAAAGCAAAACAAAAAUCUUUCAUAAGACAUAAAUGCUUUCAGUAAACAUAAGCUCUUCUUAGUUUACAAAAUUUCCAUAACUAGAUUGAAAUGUUACAGCUCACUUAUAUUUACGCAUAUAUGUAUUUUUAUAAAACAUUUUGGUUUUGCUUAACAUUUGGUUAAUGUAUUUCUGUGCAGUUUAUCUUCAGUUAUUCUGAAUUUUCAUCUAAAAAUUUCCAUUUCACAAGAUAGCAUUUCUAUGCUCUGAGUGUCUUAAAAACUAGAAUCUUCUGUAGAGAAAACUGAUGUACACCACUAGUAAAGUAACAGAGAAAAGAAAGGACCAACAGGGAAGCAUGACAUUAUGGACAAGAAGAGGACGCUACAAGAUGCCUUUGUCCUGGAGGGAAGAAGAAAACAACCCUGAGUACAGAGUAAGGGAAUGAGAUAGAAAUCAGGAUAUAUGUGAAGAUAUGCUACUGGUGGACGAGAGAGAAGAAUGGAACAGACAUGAGA